rnacentral:rRNA from 1 species
GACGAACGCUGGCGGCAUGCCUAACACAUGCAAGUCGAACGGAGCAGGACUGAAGGUAGCGAUACCGGAUGGCUUGCUUAGUGGCGAACGGGUGAGUAACGCGUGAGCAACCUGCCUUGUACACUGGGAUAACAGAGGGAAACUUCUGCUAAUACCGGAUAACACCUUGAAGUGGCAUCACUUUGAGGUCAAAGCGAUUUAGCGGUACGAGAUGGGCUCGCGUCCCAUUAGCUAGUUGGUGAGAUAACAGCCCACCAAGGCGACGAUGGGUAGCCGACUUGAGAGAGUGAUCGGCCACACUGGAACUGAGACACGGUCCAGACUCCUACGGGAGGCAGCAGU